GUCCAUUUACUUGGACAAUUUCUGACAUCUGACCUC
rnacentral:rRNA from 1 species